rnacentral:rRNA from 1 species
AGAGUUUGAUCCUGGCUCAGAUUGAACGCUGGCGGCAUGCCUUACACAUGCAAGUCGAACGGCAGCGCGGGGCAACCUGGCGGCGAGUGGCGAACGGGUGAGUAAUAUAUCGGAACGUGCCCUGGAGUGGGGGAUAACGUAGCGAAAGUUACGCUAAUACCGCAUACGAUCUGAAGAUGAAAGCAGGGGACCUUCGGGCCUUGUGCUCCUGGAGCGGCCGAUAUCUGAUUAGCUAGUUGGUGGGGUAAAAGCCUACCAAGGCGACGAUCAGUAGCUGGUCUGAGAGGACGACCAGCCACACUGGAACUGAGACACGGUCCAGACUCCUACGGGAGGCAGCAGUGGGAAUUUUGGACAAUGGGGCAACCCUGAUCCAGCAAUGCCGCGUGAGUGAAGAAGGCCUUCGGGUUGUAAAGCUCUUUUGUCAGGGAAGAAAAGGUCGUGGCUAAUAUCCACGACUGCUGACGGUACCUGAAGAAUAAGCACCGGCUAACUACGUA